rnacentral:rRNA from 1 species
AGGGUUUGAUUCUGGCUCAGAUCAGAACGAACGCUGGCGGCAGGCCUAACACAUGCAAGUCGAGCGAGAAAGCACCUCGGUGUGAGUAGAGCGGCGGACGGGUGAGUAACACGUAGGAAUUUGCCCAGUAGUGGGGGACAACAUGUGGAAACGCAUGCUAAUACCGCAUACGCCCUAUGGGGGAAAGCAGGGGAUCUUCGGACCUUGUGCUAUUGGAUAAGCCUGCGUCGGAUUAGCUAGUUGGUGGGGUAAAGGCCUACCAAGGCGACGAUCCGUAGCUGGUCUGAGAGGAUGAUCAGCCACACUGGGACUGAGACACGGCCCAGACUCCUACGGGAGGCAGCAGUGGGGAAUAUUGGACAAUGGGGGCAACCCUGAUCCAGCCAUGCCGCGUGUGUGAAGAAGGCUCUAGGGUUGUAAAGCACUUUCAGUAGGGAGGAAAAGUUGGCGGUUAAUAACCGUCAGCCCUGACGUUACCUACAGAAGAAGCACCGGCAAACUCCGUGCCAGCAGCCGCGGUAAUACGGAGGGUGCGAGCGUUAAUCGGAAUUACUGGGCGUAAAGCGUGCGUAGGCGGUUUAUUAAGCAAGAUGUGAAAGCCCCGGGCUCAACCUGGGAACUGCAUUUUGAACUGGCAGGCUAGAGUACUGUAGAGGGUGGUGGAAUUUCCAGUGUAGCGGUGAAAUGCGUAGAGAUUGGAAGGAACAUCAGUGGCGAAGGCGGCUAACUGGUAUAACACUGACGCUGAGGUACGAAAGCGUGGGGAGCGAACGGGAUUAGAUACCCUGGUAGUCCACGCCCUAAACGAUGAGAACUAGAUGUUGGGGGAAUUUAUCCUUUAGUAUCGCAGCUAACGCAAUAAGUUCUCCGCCUGGGGAGUACGGCCGCAAGGUUAAAACUCAAAUGAAUUGACGGGGGCCCGCACAAGCGGUGGAGCAUGUGGUUUAAUUCGAUGCAACGCGAAGAACCUUACCAGGUCUUGACAUCCUGCGAACUUACUAGAGAUAGUUUGGUGCCUUCGGGAGCGCAGUGACAGGUGCUGCAUGGCUGUCGUCAGCUCGUGUUGUGAAAUGUUGGGUUAAGUCCCGUAACGAGCGCAACCCCUAUCCUUAGUUACCAGCGGUUCGGCUGGGAACUCUAGGGAGACUGCCGGUGACAAACCGGAGGAAGGUGGGGACGACGUCAAGUCAUCAUGGCCCUUACGGAUUGGGCUACACACGUGCUACAAUGGGGUAUACAGAGUGACGCGAAGCCGCGAGGUGAAGCAAAACGCAGAAAGCCGGUCUCAGUACGGAUUGGAGUCUGAAACUCGACUUCAUGAAGUUGGAAUCGCUAGUAAUCGCGCAUCAGCAUGGCGCGGUGAAUACGUUCCCGGGCCUUGUACACACCGCCCGUCACACCACCCGAGUUGGGGGUACCCGAAGUCGCUAGUCUAACCUGUAAAGGGGGACGGCGCCGAAGGUAUGCCUGGUAAGGGGGGUGAAGUCGUAACAAGGUAGCC